rnacentral:rRNA from 1 species
UACGGGGGGAGCAAGCGUUGUUCGGAUUUACUGGGCGUAAAGGGCGCGUAGGCGGCCACUGCAAGUCAGUUGUGAAAUCUCCGGGCUUAACCCGGAAAGGUCAACUGAUACUGCAGGCUAGAGUGCAGAAGGGGCAACUGGAAUUCUCGGUGUAGCGGUGAAAUGCGUAGAUAUCGAGAGGAACACCUGCGGCGAAGGCGGGUUGCUGGGCUGACACUGACGCUGAGGCGCGAAAGCCAGGGGAGCGAACGGG